AUGUUGGGUUCUUGCGGGCCGAUGGCUGGGCCGCCUACUGACGAGGAGACGGCGGAGCCUCCGUUCGGGUCGUCGUUGCAGAUCGCCACCGGCUCCCCCGCGACCAAGAGGAAACGCCGGCCAGCCGGGACACCAGACCCGGACGCGGAGGUGGUGUCGCUGUCGCCGCGGACGCUGCUGGAGUCGGACCGGUACGUGUGCGAGAUCUGCAACCAGGGGUUCCAGCGCGACCAGAACCUGCAGAUGCACCGGCGGCGGCACAAGGUGCCGUGGAAGCUGCUGAAGCGGGAGGCCGGCGAGGCGGCGCGGAAGCGCGUGUUCGUGUGCCCGGAGCCGAGCUGCCUGCACCACGACCCCUCCCACGCCCUGGGCGACCUGGUCGGCAUCAAGAAGCACUUCCGCCGGAAGCACAGCGGCCACCGCCAGUGGGCCUGCAGCCGCUGCUCCAAGGCCUACGCCGUCCACUCCGACUACAAGGCCCACCUCAAGACCUGCGGCACCCGCGGCCACUCCUGCGACUGCGGCCGCGUCUUCUCCCGGGUGGAGAGCUUCAUAGAGCACCAGGACACGUGCACCGCCGGUUGCCCGCAGGCGGGGGCGGGCGUGGCAGCGCCGGUGUGUGGUGGAGUGGCGGCCGCCCUGUCGUCGCAGCAGCAGGCGCCGCCGCCGGCGAUAUCGCUGUCUCGGUCCCGGACAGCGUCCAGCACCAGCCCGUCCAGCGACGUCGUCAUCAGCGCCGUGACCUGGCCCGGCGCCGCGGCAAUGCGCAGACCGAACGCCGCCGCGUUCCACCGGUUCGAACAGCAGCUGCCGUCGCCGCGGACGCCGCCGCCCGAUGGCCGUGGCGGUGGUGGGCACAAUCUUGAGCUGCAGCUCAUGCCGCCGUCCAGCAGCUGCACGGGCGGUGCGGCUGCGCCUCUGGGCGUGGCGCCGUCAUGGUACGCAGCGCCACAGUCACCGCCGGCGCCCAUCUCGCAGGGAGACAACGCCGCCAUGCAGCUGCAGCUUUCAAUAGGCUUCUGCAGCGGCGACAACCGUGGAAGGACAGACGUGGCCGGGCCCAGCAGUGGCAGCGCGGCCAGGACAAUGCAGGAGGCACGGGAGGAGCUGCGGCAAGCGAUGGCGGAGAAGGCCGCCGCGGACGAGGCACGGGCGCAGGCAAAGCGGCAGGGGGAGCUAGCCGAGCAGGAGCUGGCGAGCGCCAAGCGCAUGCGGCACCAGGCGCAGGUGGAGCUGAGCCGCGCCCACGCGCUCCGCGAGCACGCCGUGCGGCAGGUCAACGCGACGCUGCUCCAGAUCACCUGCUUCAGCUGCCGCCAGAAGUUCCGGGCAGUGAGGCCGUCCGCCGCCAUGUCGUCGGAGGUGGCCUGCAGCUACGUGACCGAGGGCGGCGACGUCGAGGUCGACAACGUCGACGAGCCCCUCAUCCUCGACGGCAUGCGGCGGCGCCAACAACACGCCACAAUGGACACUGUGUAG
rnacentral:rRNA from 1 species